AUUAAUGAGUUUUGAUCUUGGCUCAGAUUGAACGCUGGCGGCAGGCCUAACACAUGCAAGUCGAGCGGAUGAAGGGAGCUUGCUCCUGGAUUCAGCGGCGGACGGGUGAGUAAUGCCUAGGAAUCUGCCUGGUAGUGGGGGAUAACGUCCGGAAACGGGCGCUAAUACCGCAUACGUCCUGAGGGAGAAAGUGGGGGAUCUUCGGACCUCACGCUAUCAGAUGAGCCUAGGUCGGAUUAGCUAGUUGGUGGGGUAAAGGCCUACCAAGGCGACGAUCCGUAACUGGUCUGAGAGGAUGAUCAGUUCACACUGAACGAAAACUUAUUUG
rnacentral:rRNA from 1 species